CUCAGACCCUUGGCCACAGGCUGAAGGCUGCACUCGCAGCCUCCUUACUUUUGAGGUUUUGGGACUUGGACUGAGUCACUACUGGCUUCCUUGCUCCUCAACUUGCAGACGGCCUAUCAUGGGACUUUACCUUGUGAUCAUGUCUCUGUGGAAGAUGCUCUUUGUGGAGUGAAUCGUUAACUGGGGAAGAGGCCACCUAGAUUCAGUUAUAGAACAUCGUGGAUUAGAUUGUCAUACAUCAAGGAGCCGAGGACCAUUCCCUGGGUAGUGAAGCUUUGAACCCACGGAACGGCCUCCUGCCCUUGGCUGCUGGGAAGCUUACAGCUCAGCCAUCUCUGUGUUCUGGUUUCCUUCUUCCCGCUCCCUGAAAGCAGCGACUAUAAGAAUAACUUACACUGGAAGUGUGGCUGUGGACCUAAGUGUGGAUAAGCAUAAUAUACGAAGUGAAUGCCGCUGGCACCUAGCAGGCUGUUACUCUCCACUCUUGUUAUCGGAGGCAGCAGGCAGGGGAGGAGAUUCGGCUGAUCUGUGUCCAGGUCCUGCUCUGAGGCUCCCUGGCUCAAUACAACCUAUUCACCCUACUGACUUUGGCCUCCUCAUCUGCAAAACGGGAGGAAUUUCUGCCAUGCCUGGCUCACAGGGUUGCUGUGAG